rnacentral:rRNA from 1 species
GAUGAACGCUGGCGGCGUGGAUAAGGCAUGCAAGUCGAACGAUCCCUCUAAUGCUUGCAUUUAAGGGAUAGUGGCAAACGAGUUAGUAACACCUUGGUACGUACCCUCCAGUCGGGCACAACGGGACGAAAGUUCCGCUAAUUCCCGAUGGUACAGCAAUGUUAAAGAAGCAAUUCGCUGGAGGAGCGGCCUAGGCCCUAUCAGCUUGUUGGUGAGGUAAUAGCUCACCAAGGCUAUGACGGGUAGGGGGCGUGAGAGCGUGACCCUCAACGACGAAACUGAGACACGGUUCGUACUUCUACGGAAGGCAGCAGUCGAGAAUAUUUGACAAUGGGCGCAAGCCUGAUCAAGCGACGCCGCGUGCAGGAAGAAGGCCUUCGGGUUGUAAACUGCUUUUGCGUGGGAAGAAUUUUGACGGUACCACGAGAAUAAGGGGUUGCUAACUCUGUGCCAGCAGCAGCGGUAAUACAGAGACCCCGAGCGUUAUCCGGAUUUACUGGGCGUAAAGCGUGAGCAGCCGGUCGUAUUAGUCUGAUGUAAAAGGGCGGGGCCCAACUUCGUCAUCGCAUCAGAAACGGUACGGCUAGAGUGGGUAAGAGGUAGGCGGAACGUGUAGUGUAGGGGUGAAAUCCACUGAUAUUACACGGAACACCAAAAGCGAAGGCAGCCUACUAGUGCCCUACUGACGGUCAGUCACGAAAGCGUGGGGAUCAAAAAGGAUUAGAUACCCUUGUAGUCCACGCCCUAAACGAUGUCUAUUAGCUAUUGGGAGCAUCGACCCUUCCAGUGGCGAAGCUAACGCGUUAAAUAGACCGCCUGGGAAGUACGAGCGCAAGCUUAAAACUCAAAGAAAUAGGCGGGAACUUGCACAAGCAGUGGAUCAUGUGGUUCAAUUCGACUCUAACCGAGAAACCUCACCAGGGCUUGAAAUCCAGCUGCACGCUUCAGAAAUGAAGAAGCCUUCGAGGGUGCUGGACAGGUGGUGCACGGCUGUCGUCAGCUCGUCACGUGAGUGGUCUCCUUAAGUGGAUUAACGAGCGCAACCCCUACGGUGUGUUAUACGUGUCACGCCGGACUGCUCCGGUAACGGAGAGGAAGGUGGGGAUGACGUCAAGUCAGCGUGCCCCUUGAUGCCCUGGGCUACACACAUGAUACAAUGGGGGGUACAGAGGGUAGCUACCUGGUAACAGGAUGCCAA